UGGACUGCUGAGAGCAGACAAGCCAUCCAUGGAAGCAACAGCAAGACAUUUUUUCUUAAUGAAGAAAAAGAAAAGCCCUUGGCCAUCUUGUCUUUAUUAAAGUAUCGCUGGUGAAUCCUGUGAGCUGAUCUACACUUUCAUUGGUAGCUGGCAGGAUGAGUAAAAAGUGGGAUAACCCUCUUUUAGCCAACCUGAUUGUCAUGAACUGGCAGGGCAAUGGGGAGGAGGAAGAUGAUCUCAGCAAGACACAUUUGGAGACAUCGUCAAGUAGAUUGUGUAAGCCGCAUUCCAACUUAUUAGCAACAGACUAAUGAUGACAUGCAAGUCGUAUUGUUUCUUUGCAGCAAGGGGCCUUUCUCCACAAAGAGAUGGAUUAGCAGCACAGGAGAGGCACAGAGCCUACCCAGAAAAUGGUACUCCCCUUUCGGACCGGCACGCUUCUUUCUUGCACUCAUGGCCAGAUAAUGAGGACUCAUCUAUUAGCAAUAUGAAUGGGCUGGGCUUGCAGGCCAGAUGAAUGGAAAGGCAAUGGGUUGGAGAAAGACGCAGAGGAAAAACUAGAUUGAUGCAAGCUGGCCAGCCUCAGUCUGCCAUCCAUAUGCCACCCAAUGGAAUGGCUUUGAAGCUAAUGGACAAGCCUGUCUUGUCCCUGUUCUACAGAAGGCCUUGUAGAUGGAAAAGGAGGUUUGCUGCAGCUGAUUAAAGAUGAUGUUCUGUUUGCCAUUA